GAGAGCAAGACUUAUGUAGUAUUCAGAACAGUGAUUUCACUGUUUCCUUACUUUAUCCUUCUGAUUUUACUCGCUCUUUCAUUUUCCGCAUGCUUUGACACCCAACAUUCUGAUUUCUUUGCCAUUUUCCUCUUCCUCUUCAUACUUUUGUUCUUUCGCCACUUUCUACUGCAAUUGUGUCGCCAUUUGUACUGGUUUUUGCCAUUUUAUUCUUUUCUCUCUCAUUUUCUGGAAAUCAAGCAUCAGACAAUGAGGUUCCUGACCGGGAGUUUCUUUUGCGGAUGUCCUAUUUGGCGAUUUAUAUUGAAGAGAUAAAUGACCUGUUGGUUCCUGAACACAGAAGACUACAGAUUCAUGAAAUAACUUUGAUUUCUUUUUUACUGGUUUAAUGUUUGCAUUAAAUUUUAUAUUUGAGUAUAUUAGAUGACUUGAAGCCUGAAGGUAAAUAUUAUUUGGCAGUGGGGAAUAUAUGUAGCUGGUUUGUGUGACGGAAUUGUUGCCUCACUCGAUCAGGUCCUUGAUCUCAUGGAAUUCGGAGAAUAUCUCUUGAGCUUGGCUUGGUUGUUGUUUACUCAUUUUGAGGUUGAAUUUAUACUUUUAUAUGAAUUUUUGCUUAAUUUUUAUAUCAUUUUUAUAUUAAAAUGUUGGGCAAGAUUAUUUUUUCUUUUCAAAAGUUGUUCUUUAAUGGAGUUGAAUAUCUUGUCUCUUCAAUGAUUUUAGAAUUAUUUUAAUUUCAGCAAUAAUAAAUACUUAUAUUUCGUGGGCUAACAAAAAAUUAGCGAUUUUGGUACUCGAAUGUUAAGUUGAUUCAUAGGAGUACUUCUUUGUCCCAUUAAAAUUUCAACAUUACGCAAAUCUAUAUGAGAGCUUUUGAGGAAAAUGUUACGGACUGAGGAAGUGAUUCAUAUAUUUAAAGACAAUUGAAUUACUGAAUCCCCAAAUUUUAAGAAUAUUUCCUGUCAAAUAAAUGGGUACAGAUCUUUGUUUUAGUAUCUGGGUGUUUAUCUUUAAUGUCUUGUCUCAUUUGAGCUUUCCUUUUUGUUGUCGGUUAUGAAUUGUCGCUGCUUUGGAAUCCCAUUUUCUAAAAAAAAAGGAGUCCUUCCCUGCCUACCAGAGAAAUUGAGGCUACAUUUUCCUUGCUGUUGGAAUGAUUGCGGGGCAGUGAGCAAUUUAAUGUUAUGACUACUACUCUUGUCAUGAAAAGUCUUCAAGAUGACAUCAAGCUUCAAAUUAAUUGGACUAUAUGUUUAAGUUAAUCCCGAGACCUUUGAACAUUCAGUUCAGCACAGCGAUGAACCAUGUGAGGACAAUGAAGAAAAGAGUUGUAACAAGUCCCUCAUCAUCAAGCUUGUAGCAGCCCCUCAACAUGCCCAUAGAAGCAGCGACAUCAGCACACGACAACAACAAAACACCAGUGGCAGCAGCACACCACAGUAGUAGACAACAACAAAACAGCAGUACCAAUCCAUCUUGGCCAUGUUGUUUGGCAACAGUAGCAGACUAGCAGUGACAACAACCCUUAACUUGCUCUAAUAGCAAAUAGGCAAUGUUAAGCUAUAUAUAAUUUAUUCAUUGCAUAUUGUACUUGCACUAAUAGUAACUUACUCCAAUAUGUAUUAUCUUUGAUUUUCAUGAUUUCUCUUAAUCUCUAUAUAAAUUUAAGUUUUCA